UUAGAGCACCAUUAUCGGUGGUCUUUAGGGGGUCUCUUAAUUUAAUUGUGCAUUAAAAUUAAAUCAAAAACACAAUAAACGUUGGAGACGUCGCUUAAUUGGGGUAAGGUAGAGACCGUAUUUGAGAGACACGUGUAGGCAAAGGAAGAAGAGAGAGGAAGAGCGUCUACGGUUUGUUUUGGUUCAUUCUCUCUUUCUCUCGAAACCUCUCCACCUACCUUUCCGAGAAGGCGAUUCUCUCUUCCUCCAUGGUUCUUCGACUUGCCGGCGAAACUCCAUGUCUCCA
rnacentral:lncRNA from 1 species